GCCAGUGGGGCAUAGUGGUUCGAGUCUCGGACCAUUACUCUGGAGCCCAGGGUUCGAUUCCCAGCUUGGCCA